GAUGAACGCUGGCGGCGUGCCUAAUACAUGCAAGUCGAGCGAACAGAUGAGGAGCUUGCUCCUCUGACGUUAGCGGCGGACGGGUGAGUAACACGUGGAUAACCUACCUAUAAGACUGGGAUAACUUCGGGAAACCGGAGCUAAUACCGGAUAAUAUAUUGAACCGCAUGGUUCAAUAGUGAAAGACGGUUUUGCUGUCACUUAUAGAUGGAUCCGCGCCGCAUUAGCUAGUUGGUAAGGUAACGGCUUACCAAGGCAACGAUGCGUAGCCGACCUGAGAGGGUGAUCGGCCACACUGGAACUGAGCAACGGUCCAGACUCCUACGGGAGGCAGCAGUAGGGAAUCUUCCGCAAUGGGCGAAAGCCUGACGGAGCAACGCCGCGUGAGUGAUGAAGGUCUUCGGAUCGUAAAACUCUGUUAUUAGGGAAGAACAAAUGUGUAAGUAACUAUGCACGUCUUGACGGUACCUAAUCAGAAAGCCACGGCUAACUACGUG
rnacentral:rRNA from 1 species